rnacentral:lncRNA from 1 species
GGAAAAAUGACAAUCACUACUAGAUAGGCUUAGUAGUUGGAUUACUUUGACAUGCUUAUAGCAUAGUGCUGAGACAUGUAGUAUACUUGACAGUUUACUUGUUGCAUCAUAGUAUACUUGGUUGCCAUGAUAGAUCAUAAUCAUCAUACAUUGAUAGAACGGAUCAUGAUAUUUACUUGUUGCCAUGUUGGGACUUAUUGUUUUAUGCAUUGGA